GUCAUGACCCACCAAUUGAGGUGGGCGUUUAGUCAUGACCCACCACACGAUUUGAGCAGUGGAACAACAUGCUCUGACCCGCAGGUAUAUAGGAGAGAGGAGAGGAGCCUGGGAUGAGCUCCUAUGGGCUCUAUAGGAGAGACACUGCUCUUCACUCCUAUAGUCCACACGUUUACCUGCUGCCUAGUCAAACUCUCAGACCAGUGAACGAUGUGUAGUUGCCUUGAUUAAACCAAUCAUAUCUUCCUCCUUCCUGGAUGUGAAUGAUAUCUGUCAAUCAGGCAGCAUACAUGUUAACAUGGCCGACUGAGGCACUGCUAUUCUGUUGUUUCUAUAUCUUUAUUUUUCUUGUCUGUGUCUUCAAGGCUGGCCUGUGAACACACAGUUUAUUCAAAGGUCCCCGAAUCUUUUCACAUGGCUGGCAUUCUCAAUCUGUCCAUCAUCUUUACCUGGUGCUUGUUUGUUUCUCUACCACACCUUUACAUCUAGGGUGCCUUACCUGCUGGCCGGCAAGGCAAGGGGCUUGCUGCUCUCCUUAUCCCCCAACCUCCACAUCUGAUCUGGGUGGCUGCCUGCCUGUACUCCUCUCACCUUGGCCCCAGGCUUCCUGACAAUAGCAUUCAAGCAUUGUAUUAUCCUGCCUUUUUUUGUUUUAAUUCAUGUAUUUUACAUUGUUGUUUUAAAAAGGUUUUGUUUUUAAUGAUGAGCCUGAGAAAACCCAAAAUGAUAUAUCUGAAGUUGUGUAAAGAACUGUAUUGAUUUGGAAGGUUAGUUUAGGUAUGUUAGGUUAGGGCUUCGCCCCAAAUGGCACAUAUUCCUGACAUAGUACACUACUAUGGCCCCUGGUAGUAGUGCACUAGAUAAGGUAUAGGGUGCUAUUUGGGACCUAGGUUACACAAGCUGAAGUCCCAGUUAGGACAUGUUAGCUCUGUGUGGUGGUGAUGGGGGAUGGGCUGUUGCCUGGAGCCAGGGCCGGGGACCUCGUAUACUAUACUAUACUAUACUCAGUGGUGGAAAAAGGACCCAAUUGUCAUACUUGAGUAAAAAUUAAAGAUACCUUAAUAGAAAAUAUCUCAAGUAAAAGUGAAAGUCACCCAGUAAAAUACUACUUGAGUAAAAGUCUAAAAGUGUUUGUUUUUAAAUCAACUUUAGUAUCAAAAGUAAAAGUAUAAAUCACUUAAUAUUCCUUACAUUAAACAAACCAGACCUCACCAUUUUCUUGUUUUUUAAUUUACAGAUAGCCAAAGGUACACGCCAACAUAAUUUACAAAAGAUGCAUGCGUGUUUACUGAGUCCGAAAUUUGGGGUUUGCUGAGAGGAAGGUUACCACUGCCUCAAAAUGAGCUAUAUCUAGUAACAAAACAGAGGAAAAAGCAAAGCAUUAGUGUUUACUCCGCCCAAAAUCUUCUUCUAUGGUAUAAUGGCGGUGUGCAAAACAUACAAAUCAUUAAAAUCCACACAGAAAAUAUUUACACAAGAAGCAAUCUAAUAUCACACAGUCAAAACUCUCCGUCGUUUAGUUAAGUUCACCAUUCUGCGAUUCUCAAAUCAGAGGCAGUAGGAAUGACCAGGGAUGUUCUCUUGAUAAGUUUGUGAAUUAGACUAUUUUCCUGUCCUGCUAAGAAUUCAAAAUGUAAGGAGUGCUUUUGGGUGUCAGGGAAAAUGUAUGGAUUAAAAAUUACAUUAUUUUAUUUAGGAAUGUAGUGAAGUAAAAGUAAGUUGUCAAAAAAGUAAAUAAUAAAGUACAGAUACCCCAAAAAACGACUUAAGUAGUACUUUAAGUACUUUACACCACUGACUAUACUAUACAAUAUGAUACAUACGUACUGCUGCUUGGCUCUGCCAGCAUGUUUAUACGUUUUUGUCAAAUCAAGUGCCUUCACUUGUAUUUUUUGAGAGACGAAGAGCAAGAAAAUCUACACCAAGUAAUAAUACUAAAUAAUGUGUCUAAGAAGUUGUAUUAUUGCCAAACAAACAUCAAAAAUACUCUCCUCUGCUUACGUUAAUGUCCAAUAAUCAACAGUAUAUUUCUGUUUUUAUAAAAAGGUGUUAUUAUUAUGGGACUUCAGUAACACUUUACUUGACACCCAGCGUCAUAACACGAUCAUAACCAUGUCAUAAUAUGUCUUAACAACUGACAUAACUUGUUAUUACCUGUCAUAACACUAUCAUGACCCAUAUAUUUACACCUGUUGUGACAUAUUGCCUUAUUUUAUGGCUGGUUAUGAACCCUAUAUGCUGUAAGUUUGUUGUUGUUGUUAUGAAUUGUUAACAGUCAUCAUAUUUUAAAUAACUUGUAGAAAAUACACUUUAUAACACUGUCAAGAAGCUUUAUGACCAUCAUAAUCAGAUAGGCAGAACGACACAUUCGUACCUUGUUAGCUCGGGGUUUUGAACUUGCAACCUUUCGGUUACUAGUCCAAUGCUCUAACCACUAGGCUAGCCUGCCGCCCAUGUAUGCAGAUGUAUGUAGAUAUGUCAUGUAUGUAUAUGUCAUAACCAGCCAUAAAAUAACACAAUGUCACAGGUGUAAAUAUAUGUUUCAUGACUGUUAAGACCAUAUUAUGACAGGUUACAGGUUGAUAUUACAUUACAUGUUUUGAUGCUUGGUGUCAUGUAAAGUGUUACUGGGAUAUCUUAUAUUUAAUGAAGCCUAGCUUCUUUAUAUUUCUGUCUUAUUUCUGUUUUAUCUUUUAAUCAUCUUCUAAGUUAAUUAGGUUAUUAUUUUGUGAUGUAUUAUAGAUUAAACUGCUUUUUAGUUUUUACUUUAUCGUGAUGUUUUAUAGGUGAUUGAUACAUUUUAACCGGGUCACCUUCCAGCACAUCACUGCAACAGAUCCAACUGACAUGGGGCUUUUCAAAUCCGUUACAAGUUCCCUCUUUCACCAGGUCAUAAUAUCAGGUUGGCAGAUUGGUUAUGAUUUUAUCAGGGUUAGGGUUAUUGUAUCCUUAUCAAUCACACUCAGCUUUCAUUCUUUCCCUAUUACCUGAGGAUAUUCUUAAUCAAUAACACUUCCCCAAAAAGGAACAGUUUGAAGAAAACAAGAAAACAAAAGGCACUUUGGAUCAAUAAGAACUGGUUUGAUGUAGUGUCCCAAAUGGCACCCUAUUCCCUACAUAGUUCACUACUCAAUACAUGUCAAAAGUAGUGCACCUUUGAGGGAAUAGGGUGUCAUUUAGGAGACAGUGAUUGUCUCCAUGUCUGAAAGGCAGUCUAUGGACUUACUGCCCUCGUAUAGACCUGCUGUUUUGUGCUGUGCUGAAACAGAUGGUGGUUAGGACAUGUUUUAGCUGGCUAGAAAAGCCUUUUUGUGAGGUUCCAGCCGGGGCUUUAUUUGAUCAAUGGUAAAUGUGAGUUACAGCAUGGGGACUCUAGUUGGUGUACAGUUAGAAUUUCUCCUCAUGAACAAAAACAACAAAAAUCAAUCAGCUAUGAUUUUACUAAAGUCAGGAAUUGUUGUGAUGAGUUGUUUUUUUAUAUAUUUUUUUAAACAUUUCCUAAUAAUUCUUCUUCCAAAUGAUACUGAAUCUGCCUUCACGGGUGACAAAAAUGAUGAAAAUGAUUUGUUAUUAUCACCCGCUAUCUGUCUAACUACACAUGUAUAAGUGACUUCGUGUUUGAGGUAACAGAGAUUUCUGAGUAGUCAUAGAGGCAAAAUGCCAUCUCUAGACAUGGUGGCCAUUUUGAUUGACUAACCCUGUGAGGAUGCUAGGAGUUCUAGAAUAGAACAAACAUAUUUUUUUCUUAUUUUAUUUUACAUUUUUGUUAUGAGUUUGUUUCCAUUCUUCCAGAACAAGAGAACACUACAGCAACAUUAUGUUAUUGCUAUAUUUCUUCCUUUAUGAUCAGAAUCGCUGCUUUCUCAGAUGUUUAAAUGUUGAUGACACUUAGGGCUCUAUUCAAUCCGUAUCGCGGUAAUUGAGCAUCACAGCAUGAUUGAAAUUUAAAGGCAAUGCCUUCGCGUUAGCAGAGACUGCAUUGACGGUACAAGCUGCAAAUGUCGGCUCAAUAGGAAAUUACCUUUACAUUUCUAGUGCGGUAUGUGUAACACUUCAGCGAUCCAGAUUGAAUAGAGCCCUAACACAUUAUCCAGACUGAAUAGAGCCCUAACACAUUAUCCAGACUGAAUAGAGCCCUACACAUUAUCCAGACUGAAUAGAGCCCUAACACAUUAUCCAGACUGAAUAGAGCCCUAACACAUUAUCCAGACUGAAUAGAGCCCUAACACAUUAUCCAGACUGAAUAGAGCCCUAACACAUUCCAGACUGAACAGAUUGAAUAGAGCCCUAACACAUUAUCCAGACUGAAUAGAGCCCUAACACAUUAUCCAGACUGAACAGAGCCCUAACACAUUAUCCAGACUGAACAGAGCCCUAACACAUUAUCCAGACUGAAUAGAGCCCUAACACAUUAUCCAGAUUGAAUAGAGCCCUAACACAUUAUCCAGACUGAACAGAGCCCUAACACAUUAUCCAGACUGAAUAGAGCCCUAACACAUUAUCCAGACUGAAUAGAGCCCUAACACAUUAUCCAGAUUGAAUAGAGCCCUACGCAUUAUCCAGACUGAAUAGAGCCCUAACACAUUAUCCAGACUGAACAGAGCCCUAACACAUUAUCCAGACUGAAUAGAGCCCUAACACAUUAUCCAGACUGAAUAGAGCGCUAACACAUUAUCCAGACUGAAUAGAGCCCUACACAUUAUCCGGACUGAAUAGAGCCCUAACACAUCCAGACUGAAUAGAGCCCUAACACAUUAUCCAGACUGAUUAGAGCCCUACACAUUAUCCAGACUGAAGAGUCCUAACACAUUAUCCAGGUUGAAUAGAGCCCUAACACAUUAUUCACUCAUAACGUCGCUCAGUUCCUUUAAUGAUCUAUCAGCCUGUCUACCGUAGAGGAAGGACAUUUGGACGACUGAUGAUAUAUUGCUAGCUACACUAAAAAGCCAAGAUACCAAAUUGGCAGUAUUUAACUUUUUACAGAACAAAUGUUUUACAUUGUUACCAUGUACAUUUUGAGUGUGGAUUAUGUUUUCAGUCAUUUCCAUUCAGUUGAUUGAUUAUCUGAUUAUCAUGUAUAGCACUGAUGGUGGCUGUUGGAUGGAUGUGUUAAACAGUGAGAGAGACAGAACAAUGCAACUAAAGUGACUUUUCUUGUCAUCGUUGGUGGUCCGCUACUCUACCGUGCUUGUAAUGCACAUAUACAGAAUGUUGGCAGAAAUGAUUUAUUUGUCACAGAAGUGUGACUUUGUCCAUAGCUAGUUUGUGUAAUUGUCAGACUAAAUCAAAUCAAAGUUUAUUUGUCACAUGCGCCGAAUACAACAGGUGUAGACCUUACAGUGAAAUGCUUACUUACAUGCUCUAACCAAUAAUGCAAAAAAGGUAUUAGGUGAACAAGUAAGUAAAGAAAUAAAACAGUAAAAAGACAGGCUAUAUAAAGUAGCGAGGCUAUAAAAGUAGCGAGGCUACAUACAGACACCAGUUAGACUGAUUGAGGUGACUAUAGUUAACUGUUGAAUGUCUUUGGAUCGUAGUACUAACCACUGUCAGACUACAGUUAACUGUUGACUGUCUUUGGAUCGUAGUACUAACCACUGUCAGACUACAGUUAACUGUUGACUGUCUUUGAAUCGUAGUACUAACCACUGUCAGACUACAGUUAACUUUUGACUGUCUUUGGAUCGUAGUACUAACCACUGUCAGACUACAGUUAACUGUUGACUGUCUUUGGAUCAUAGUACUAACCACUGUCAGACUACAGUUAACUGUUGACUGUCUUUGGAGCAGCACUAACCACUGUCAGACUACAGUUAACUGUUGACUGUCUUUGGAUCAUAGUACUAACCACUGUCAGACUACAGUUAACUGUUGACUGUCUUUGGAGCAGCACUAACCACUGUCAGACUACAGUUAACUGUUGACUGUCUUUGGAUCGUAGUACUAACCACUGUCAAACUAGUUAACUGUUGACUGUCUUUGGAGCAGGACUAACCACUGUCAGACUACAGUUAACUGUUGACUGUCUUUGGAGCAGGACUAACCACUGUCAGAAAACAGUUAACUGUUGACUGUCUUUGGAGCAGGACUAACCACUGUCAGAAAACAGUUAACUGUUGACUGUCUUUGGAGCAGGACUAACCACUCACGUUUAAAGGAUUGGUAUUUAGACAUGAUCGAAAUGCACACAACAAAAAUGAGACUAUAUUCAGUAACUGUGAUCAUGUUAUAGAUAUUAUUUGCAUGUAUUUUAUCUUUAUCUCCUUCUAUAAUACUUUGAAUUGGAAUAAAGUAUAUACCUUCUGGUAAUUAUGUCUGGAGUUAUUUUCCUUCCUAUGAUCAGAUAGAGGUUCUACUCAAACACGGACACACACACCCAUUAACUCAUAACUGUCAUCUAUUCUGUAGGAGAGAUACGCCCUGACCUUAGAUAUCUCUGUUUUCAUUAUAUUUUGGUUAGGUCAGGGUGUGUCUCGGGUUGGUACGCUAGUUUUUAUAUUGUCUAGGGUUUUUGUAUGUCUAGGGUUGUUGUAGUUCUAGGGGGUUUUGUAUUUUUCUAUGUUGGCCUGAUAUGGUUCUCAAUCAGAGACAGAUGUUUAUCGUUGUAUCUAAUUGGGAAUCAUAUUUAGGUAGCCAUUUUCCCUUUUUUGUUGGUGGGAUCUUGUCUAUGUGUAGUUGCCUGUUCAGCACUAGUUUGUGUAGCUUGUGUAACUAGUUUGUUUGUUUAUUCAGUGUUCAUUCUGUUAAUAAAAAUAAUG
ensembl:lncRNA